ACUGCUCAGUAACACGUGGAUAACCUGCCCUUGGGUCCGGCAUAACCCCGGGAAACUGGGGAUAAUUCCGGAUAACGCAUAUAUGCUGGAAUGCUUUAUGCGUAAAAUGGAUUCGUCUGCCCAAGGAUGGGUCUGCGGCCUAUCAGGUAGUAGUGGGUGUAAUGUACCUACUAGCCGACAACGGGUACGGGUUGUGAGAGCAAGAGCCCGGAGAUGGAUUCUGAGACAUGAAUCCAGGCCCUACGGGGCGCAGCAGGCGCGAAAACUUUACAAUGCGGGAAACCGUGAUAAGGGGACACCGAGUGCCAGCAUCAUAUGCUGGCUGUCCAGGUGUGUAAACUACACCUGUUAGCAAGGGCCGGGCAAGACCGGUGCCAGCCGCCGCGGUAACACCGGCGGCCCGAGUGGUGAUCGUGAUUAUUGGGUCUAAAGGGUCCGUAGCCGGUUUGGUCAGUCCUCCGGGAAAUCUGACGGCUCAACCGUUAGGCUUUCGGGGGAUACUGCCAGGCUUGGAACCGGGAGAGGUAAGAGGUACUACAGGGGUAGGAGUGAAAUCUUGUAAUCCCUGUGGGACCACCUGUGGCGAAGGCGUCUUACCAGAACGGGUUCGACGGUGAGGGACGAAAGCUGGGGGCACGAACCGGAUUAGAUACCCGGGUAGUCCCAGCCGUAAACGAUGCUCGCUAGGUGUCAGGCAUGGCGCGACCGUGUCUGGUGCCGCAGGGAAGCCGUGAAGCGAGCCACCUGGGAAGUACGGCCGCAAGGCUGAAACUUAAAGGAAUUGGCGGGGGAGCAC
rnacentral:rRNA from 1 species